rnacentral:rRNA from 1 species
CUACUCUUGACAUCCAGAGAAUUUAGCAGAGAUGCUUUAGUGCCUUCGGGAACUCUGAGACAGGUGCUGCAUGGCUGUCGUCAGCUCGUGUUGUGAAAUGUUGGGUUAAGUCCCGCAACGAGCGCAACCCUUAUCCUUUGUUGCCAGCGAUUCGGUCGGGAACUCAAAGGAGACUGCCAGUGAUAAACUGGAGGAAGGUGGGGAUGACGUCAAGUCAUCAUGGCCCUUACGAGUAGGGCUACACACGUGCUACAAUGGCAUAUACAAAGAGAAGCGACCUCGCGAGAGCAAGCGGACCUCAUAAAGUAUGUCGUAGUCCGGAUCGGAGUCUGCAACUCGACUCCGUGAAGUCGGAAUCGCUAGUAAUCGUGGAUCAGAAUGCCACGGUGAAUACGUUCCC